GGCAUUAUGGCAGAGAGGUUAAUGCGGAGCACUGUUAAUGCUUUUUUCAAAGGUUCAAUUCCUUUUGAUGCCU